rnacentral:rRNA from 1 species
GAUGAACGCUAGCGGCAGGCCUAACACAUGCAAGUCGAGGGGUAACAGUGGUGCUUGCACCAGCUGACGACCGGCGCACGGGUGCGGAACGCGUAUGGAACCUGCCCCUAUCAAGGGAAUAGCCCGUGGAAACGCGGAUUAAUGCUCUAUAGUAUUAAUUGAUUGCAUAAUUAAUUAAUUAAAGAUUUAUCGGAUAGGGAUGGCCAUGCGUAUCAUUAGUUAGUUGGUAAGGUAACGGCUUACCAAGGCAGCGAUGAUUAGGGGCCCUGAGAGGGGGAUCCCCCACACUGGUACUGAGACACGGACCAGACUCCUACGGGAGGCAGCAGUGAGGAAUAUUGGACAAUGGUCGAGAGACUGAUCCAGCCAUGCCGCGUGCAGGAUGACUGCCCUAUGGGUUGUAAACUGCUUUUUUACAGGAAGAAACCUACUUACGUGUAAGUAGCUGACGGUACUGUACGAAUAAGGACCGGCUAACUCCG